rnacentral:ncRNA from 1 species
GUUGUUUGAGGUGGAGGAAUUCGUACAGUCCACACGCCGAUGGUACUGACAAGGCACAGCCUGAGAGACGCAGGAGAAUUGUACGCCUGCCAAACAAC